UGGCGCGAGUGUGUUAGGACUGUUAGUUACUCAAGACGAAAUUCCGCCAUUUCUUAAAACACUGAUCGGAAUUUGGAAACCACAUGUUGAAAACGUAUCGUUGGAUUGGAUACUUAAUACGGCGUACUUUUCUUUCUUGACAUUUUUAUUCGUUAUAAUGGUAUCUAUCUGGUAACAGCCUAUAAUUUCUACAUGGCAAUUUCAUCUGAUCAUGUGGUGGCCUGAGCAGCUGAACAUUUUGCCAAAAUGUCCUUUUUCCUGUACCAGCGUCACGUUUGUCAGAAACACUUCAGAACAAUUUGGGAUUAACACCCUGGUAUCUGGUAACAGCCUCUAAUUUCUACAUGGCAAUUUCAUCUGAUCAUGUGGCCUGAGCAGCUGAACAUUUUGCCAAAAUGUCUCUUUUUCCUGUACCAGCUUCACGUUUGUCAGAAACACUUCAGAACAAUUCAGGAUUAACACCCUGGUGGAGUUUGAGCUUCUUUGUUGCUGCCCAACUUACACAUGGAUUUGACGUAGCCAGCUGAGGGCUUUAAUUCUUGUUGAUCAUGUAUGUUCGUGUAGUUGCUGUCCGAUGUGGGACGUUGUUGCUGCCUAUGCUGGUGAAAGAUCUUUCUACAUCAAGUUCAAUUGUCCGUUCCUUGGUGCUGAUGUUGUGUUACCGAAGUUGCAUCAUAUUUUGUUUAAUUGUCAUCGUGACUAUUGCAGUUUACCGUUUAUAAGUUCAGAAGCAACAAAAAAAAUUUGGGAUGUUUAUGUCAACAAAUAAUAAACAUGUUUCCGGGAUUGGGAAAGGAAAGUAGAGGAUGUUGGAGGGGGGAGGGAGGAUAUUUCAAGUUUGGAUAAAAAUUCAGUUAAUCUAUAACCCUACAAAUGUUGCCCUACCAAUUAAUCUCCAAACCCCACAAACAUAUACCUUCCAAUCCUUCAAACCCCGAAGUUUCACCUACUAUACACCUACUAACCCUUAAAUUUAUACCCUUAACCCUAUAAACCAAUGUUAAACCUUAACCAUGUAAUAUCCGUAAUAAAUAAAAAUAAAUAUAUUGCAUGAACUAA